GUGACUUGUCUCCCAGAUAAAGCAGGCCGAAGGCUGCUUCUCAUAGUAUCCUCAUCCGCAAUGACUUUGACCCUUCUUUUUGUGGCCGUGGCGUUCUAUAUAGAGAGUUCUGCUUCAGAAGACUCUCAAUUAUACAGCAUAAUGGGAAUAUUGUCGGCUGUCA